AGCUCAGGUUUCUUUUUAUUAACGCAUAAGUCUUUUGCCUUUUACUAAAGAUUUCUGUGGAAAUAAACGUUAAUGAGUUCGGCAUAUUUUUGUAGGUUUUGCUCUGGCAGAGCU